rnacentral:rRNA from 1 species
AUACGUAGGGGGCAAGCGUUAUCCGGAUUUACUGGGUGUAAAGGGAGCGCAGGUGGUGCGGUAAGUCAGAUGUGAAAGCCCGAGGCUCAACUUCGGGAUUGCAUUUGAAACUAUCGUGCUAGAGUGCAGGAGAGGUAAGUGGAAUUCCUAGUGUAGCGGUGAAAUGCGUAGAUAUUAGGAGGAACACCAGUGGCGAAGGCGGCUUACUGGACUGUAACUGACACUGAGGCUCGAAAGCGUGGGGAGCAAACAGGAUUAGAUACCCUGGUAGUCCACGCCAUAAACGAUGAAUACUAGGUGUCGGGGGCCAAAAGGCCUCCGGUGCCGCAGCUAACGCAAUAAGUAUUCCACCUGGGGAGUACGUUCGCAAGAAUGAA